AGAGAGAGAGAGCACUCCACAGCUCCGAAAUUGAAGGGGACGAAAUUUUUGUAUACGUAGUUGGAUUUCAUAGAUCUCGUCUCUUCUGGGUAUGUAUCUAUUUAUCUAUCUAUGCAUGUCUCUUUUUCAUUUUCCUUCUCUUCUUCAUUUAUAUAACCCUUUUUAUUCCUUACUUUCUCUCUGAAUUUCAAGCUUGUGAUUUUGUAUAGUUUUUACAUUUUCGGUGACCCUUUUGACUUAUUUAGUUUUAGCUUCAGCUCAAUGAUGCUACUGUUUCAGUUUCAGCUUAAAGUUUGAGUUUUUAACUUUUGAUUUCAAUUUUUGUGUUGACCCUUCUUGUGAAGUUUUGUGUUGGAAAAUUGAGCAUUUUUUAGAGUUUGUAUCAAAGAUGUUAACUUUUUAGCUUUUGUUGAUAUGGGGGAGGUUUUGCUGGGUUUUUUCUGUUGUGGGUCGUGAAUUCUAAUUGUUGUUAAUGUUGUAUUUUUCUAAAUAAAUGUUAAUUGGUUGGUUUAUAAUUUAUUGUAAUUUUUUUUUUCAGACAUGAUGACAUAUGGGUUUUUUCUUCCAUGUUUUAAGUUUUUUGAAAGCAUUGAUUUUUAGGGUUUUACUUGAUAUUUAGAGAUGUUAAUGUGAUAAAAAUUGAACUUUUGAUUCUGUUUCCCAAUUCACUUAUGUUAGCUAUAAAGGUGGUAAUUUAAUUUUAGUUAUAUAUGUUAUCUUAGUGAUUAAUCAGGAAAAAUUAAUCUAAUUUAAGUUCUGAUUUACAACUCCAUUUUUUAGGGUUUAGGGGGGUGGGUGGGAAAGGUUACCUAUGCUAGGGAAAGGAUGUUACAUAUACAGAUGAUAAUUUAAUUGUAGCAGUAAUUUGAUGAUAUUUGAAGUAGACCUAUAAUAUAGAUUCUUUGCUAUUUAAGUCCAAAAUCCUUGAUGGUGCUAGCUAGUCAUCAUCAUGUAUCUCUAGAUAUGAAAUUGAAUUCAACUUUCUGUGGUUCUGCAUUAAAAUCAUGUCAUUUAUGAAUUCUAAUUGCAGAAAGAAUGCUAAAUUCUACAAGUUUUGUAUAUGAAUGUUCUUUUUUUAAUGACAAAUGUUAGUAAUUAGUUGUUAAAUUGAUUUUUUCUCCUUUGUCCGGGUUUUAACGCAUACAAGAAGUUUACCUAGUUCUAAUUUGACUUAGGUUGGCUAAAAGUUACCUAGUUUAAGUUUCUUAGACAUGGAAACAGUGUGCCUAUUCCAUGAGGCUGGACUUUUUCCUAGAGAUACAAACGAAGGAUGAAAGAAAGAUGCUUUAGAUAGAGAAGAC
rnacentral:lncRNA from 1 species